rfam:Ictidomys tridecemlineatus contig018117, whole genome shotgun sequence.
GGGGAUGUGGCUCAGUUGCUGAGUGUUUGCCUCCUAUGCACAAGGCCCUGGGUUGAGUCCCCAGCAUCGCCA